CACCGCCGCGGUAAUACGAGGGGGGCGAGCGUUGUUCGGAAUUAUUGGGCGUAAAGGGUGCGUAGGCGGUUCAGUAAGUCUUGUGUGAAAUCUUCGGGCUCAACUCGAAGUCUGCAUGAGAAACUGCUGGGCUUGAGUAUGGGAGAGGUGAGUGGAAUUCCCGGUGUAGCGGUGAAAUGCGUAGAUAUCGGGAGGAACGCCUGUGGCGAAAGCGGCUCACUGGACCAUAACUGACGCUGAGGCACGAAGGCUAGGGGAGCAAACAGGAUUAGAUACCCCCGUAGUCCCUGUCUCUUAUACA
rnacentral:rRNA from 1 species